rnacentral:rRNA from 1 species
UAUCAAUAAGCGGAGGAAAAGAAACCAACAGGGAUUGCCCUAGUAACGGCGAGUGAAGCGGCAACAGCUCAAAUUUGAAAUCUGGCGCAAGCCCGAGUUGUAAUUUGGAGAGGAUGCUUCUGGGUAGCGGCCGUUCUAAGUUCCUUGGAACAGGACGUCAUAGAGGGUGAGAAUCCCGUAUGUGACCGGCGCGCACCCUCCACGUAGCUCCUUCGACGAGUCGAGUUGUUUGGGAAUGCAGCUCUAAAUGGGAGGUAAAUUUCUUCUAAAGCUAAAUACCGGCCAGAGACCGAUAGCGCACAAGUAGAGUGAUCGAAAGAUGAAAAGCACUUUGGAAAGAGAGUUAAAUAGCACGUGAAAUUGUUGAAAGGGAAGCGCUUGCAACCAGACUUGGCGGCGGUGUUCCGCCGGGCUUCUGCCCGGUCCACUCGCCGCCGCCAGGCCAGCAUCAUCUGUGGCCGCCGGAGAAGACGCGGGGAAUGUAGCUCCCUCGGGAGUGUUAUAGCCCCGCUUGAUACGGCGCGCCGCGGGUGAGGUCCGCGCUUCGGCAAGGAUGUUGGCGUAAUGGUUGUCAGCGGCCCGUCUUGAAACACGGACCAAGGAGUCUAACAUCUAUGCGAGUGUUCGGGUGUCAAACCCUUGCGCGUAAUGAAAGUGAACGGAGGUGGGAACUUUUUGUGCACCAUCGACCGAUCCUGAUGUCCUCGGAUGGAUUUGAGUAAGAGCAUAGCUGUUGGGACCCGAAAGAUGGUGAACUAUGCCUGGAUAGGGUGAAGCCAGAGGAAACUCUGGUGGAGGCUCGCAGCGG